AAAUCUUGAGAUAGUUUCCUUCAACUACACAUAUGUGGGCUAGAUUAUCAUGUGUAAUGCCUGCAGAUAACGUGCAUAAUCGACGUCCAUCAUCAUGCACCUGUCUUUAGUGCAAGUAAUAGAUGUCCACAAGUUUCAGUUAAGUGGGUGCAGAUUCUUUGGUUCCCUUACUGGAUUCAACAGUAACAGUCGACUACUCCCCCUCUAUAUAAAGGGGAAGAAAGAGAACCUUUAAAUAAGUAUAUUCUCUAAAGAAAAGAAGCCCUUCCUCUUCCUUUCUCAUUUUCUAUUAUUUUCAAGCUUCGAUUAAUUUAAGCAUCGGAGGUCCCUCGUCAGAAAAUCUUCGAUGAUUGUGGAUUUUCUUUUCAGAUCUCUGAGAUGAAGGUGCUUUAGUUCAUCAC
rnacentral:lncRNA from 1 species